rnacentral:rRNA from 1 species
AGUGAACGCUGGCGGUAGGCCUAACACAUGCAAGUCGGACGGCAGCACAGUAAGAGCUUGCUCUUACGGGUGGCGAGUGGCGGACGGGUGAGGAAUACAUCGAAAUCUACUUUUUCGUGGGGGAUAACGUAGGGAAACUUACGCUAAUACCGCAUACGACCUACGGGUGAAAGCAGGGGAUCUUCGGACCUUGCGCGAUUGAAUGAGCCGAUGUCGGAUUAGCUAGUUGGCGGGGUAAAGGCCCACCAAGGCGACGAUCCGUAGCUGGUCUGAGAGGAUGAUCAGCCACACUGGAACUGAGACACGGUCCAGACUCCUACGGGAGGCAGCAGUGGGGAAUAUUGGACAAUGGGCGCAAGCCUGAUCCAGCCAUACCGCGUGGGUGAAGAAGGCCUUCGGGUUGUAAAGCCCUUUUGUUGGGAAAGAAAAGCAGCAGGUUAAUACCCCGCUGUUCUGACGGUACCCAAAGAAUAAGCACCGGCUAACUUCGUG